CCAGACUCCUACGGGAGGCAGCAGUGGGGAAUAUUGCACAAUGGGCGCAAGCCUGAUGCAGCCAUGCCGCGUGUAUGAAGAAGGCCUUCGGGUUGUAAAGUACUUUCAGUCGGGAGGAAGGUGGUAAGGUUAAUAACCUUAUCAAUUGACGUUACCGACAGAAGAAGCACCGGCUAACUCCGUGCCAGCAGCCGCGGUAAUACGGAGGGUGCAAGCGUUAAUCGGAAUUACUGGGCGUAAAGCGCACGCAGGCGGUCUGUCAAGUCGGAUGUGAAAUCCCCGGGCUCAACCUGGGAACUGCAUUCGAAACUGGCAGGCUGGAGUCUUGUAGAGGGGGGUAGAAUUCCAGGUGUAGCGGUGAAAUGCGUAGAGAUCUGGAGGAAUACCGGUGGCGAAGGCGGCCCCCUGGACAAAGACUGACGCUCAGGUGCGAAAGCGUGGGGAGCAAACAGGAUUAGAUACCCCCGUAACG
rnacentral:rRNA from 1 species